UUUGCUAUGCACCAGAGCAUGUGUGCAGGGGCAUGCCCUGGAAGAAAAAGCAGCAGCACAAAUAUGAGCCAGUGCUAUUUGUUCUGUGGGAGAAAUGUGCCCCUGCACAUGCGCACGUCUUGGGACACGUCCCUAAGUGGGAGUUUGCUCCUAUAGUUAAAGGAGAGAGUAAAAGGCUCACAAAAACAGUGGCUUGGAUGAGGCCCCUUUAGAAAAAGUGAACCCUAGACAUUUCUCAGUUUAACAGCAUAUUUAAUUGCUUUAAAAAUGUUUUUUAUUUUCUUUGUCGGGGUUAUUAAUCAGGUGUUAAAAAAACCCCAAGCCUCACAUUCACCUGGCUUUGAGUAAUUCUGAUGCCAUUUCUCUCACUUGUCCACUUCCCAGGGCUGGAUUCAAUCAGAGAGAUGUCCAAUUUCUGCACCAAGAUACCCAUGACAAAUCAAUUUGGGGGACGAGGGACGUGCCAGUUGCUCGGCACAAGAAGCAUAUGGGGAUUAUAUUGAAUCUGGCCCUUAUUUUCAAACUCCACUACAUUAUAGAUGGAGUACCAUCCUGGUUUCUCUACCCUUUUACUCUGGAGUUCACUGCUUUUGAGGGUUUAAAUCUAAGUCUUGGUGGUAGCUUUAAUUCCCCUUUAAACUGUAUUCCUUUUUAGCAUGGCUUGAGGUUAUGUAAACACAUCUAGGAAUCAUGAAACAUGAUCUUUUAGGGUUAAAACAGUGUGUUAAAUCCUCCUAAUGCUUCAACUGUUUAACACAAGAAAAGGCUAAUAAAUGUGCAAAGUUUUUUACUUGGAUUUCUUCCAUUUCCUGUAGAAGGUGCUCUCCACCCAUAAAGAAAACUUGACAGCAGAGGACUGGGAAUGUACUGUACAAACUACGCCAGUAUCUUAUAUUUCCAUGUAAUAAUUCCGUUUCUUUUCAUUAUAUUAAAGAACUCCUUAAUGACAUACAACAAGUUACACCAACUAAUCUGAGUGGCAAGAGGGACACCAAAAAGACUCUGUCUUUUCAACAUUUCCACCGCCUCUUCUCCAUGAGAAAUGACAUGAGACACGUCCAUCUGCUUACACAGCCUGUACGAGCUCCUUUGGUUUCAGAAAUUCUCAUUGUAUUUCACGGCAGAACCAAAUCCGAAUGUUUCGUCAGCUGGAAGUGCUUGGCACAAAUGUCCUUCAUUUGUUAUUUCAGGCACUAAAGGACAAAUGUGUCUGCAGCAAAACAACUUGGACUUAGCUUUGGUAACCCUUGGAGAUGAAACACAUCUGGCUUCUACUGAAAAUUACAGCACAAUUACUACCCAAUUUAAUGCCGUUUUAAUAUCAUCGAGGCUGAGACUCUGAGCCCUUGAGUCACAGGGGAAGGCCGUUCUUCAUGCUGAGUGGUGCAAACUUGGUCUUGAAUCAUCCAUCUCUGGCACGAUGAUAAAACUGUGACUGGCUAAGCAAGAAGGCCUUAGACCCUGUGAUUUAAAGGUCAGGCUUAUAUUGCCACAUUUACCAACUAACAAUGUGACAUUUAGCCCCAGCUGAGUGACAUGGAAAUUACUCCAUAUACUCCAUAUUCAAAAAUGUUUCCAUGACAAGGACUUUACUGUGUUAUAUGCGGGACUGAUUAGCUCAGAAAGGGAAGUGGGAUGGGGAAGAUACGGAGCUAUGUAGCUGGCUUAUCCAGCUACAAUGAGUUUCCAAGUAGCAUGAUUGCUAUCCAUCUGCUUUACAAAGGAAGAGCGGGAUCCUGAGGUGGGAAGCUAUCAGAAGUGGUUGAGAGUCAGGAUCUGUGAUGCUCCUCACUGCUUCAUACAAGGGUGGCCCCACCACCGAAUGCUUCAGCAGCCUUUGAUGGUGUCCUGAGCGGCUCCGCGCCUGUCGCAGACCCGAUGGAAGAAGAUUGCUUUGUGCCAUCGUUGUGCGACAGAGCUGCUAGCAGCCUCCUGCCGUCUGAGCUUGACGGCACGUGAUACCUGCCCACCUGUGUCACACCAGUCCUGCCUUGACAAGGACAAGAAUGACAUAAGGAGCAAGACCCACCUCUAUUCUAGGAGACCUGGGGGAGGCUGCUCCAGUGAGAGGUCCUUGGAGAGGACAGAGUGAAUAUAUUUUUAAUAGUUGUGGUUGGGCAGGUUGUGGGAGGGAGGAAGAGAAACUGAAGUGGUGGCUCAGGGCAGCAGAAGUUGUGGAGUCAUUUGACGAGAGCUGACGGAGAAGCAGCAGUGUUGCAGAGUAACGGGAAGGCUAUGACCUUAGCACGUGCUCCAAGGCAGAGCGGAGCAUCUGAACUUCCAAGAUUUCUGGCUGUCCCCAAGGUCUCCCAGCAAACAGCAUAGAAGUGGAGGGACCCUAAUGUGGGAACAAGAGCCUCCAGCAUACAGAAGUUGCUCAUAGUGGACCUGAGAGCCUGAUUCUGGAUUUGUUCGUCACAAGAGGAUUGACCUGCUGAUUUAACUUUGGCAGAAUUGGGAAAAUUGCUCAGGUCUACACCACCCAUUUAACUUUGGGAGGCUGGGGAAAAUUGCUCAGGUCUACACCAUCCAUUUAACUUUGGGAGGAUUGGGAAAAUUGCUCAGGUCUACACCAUCCAUUUAACUUUGGGAGGAUAGGGAAAAUUGCUCAGGUCUACACCACCUCCUCCUCUGUUGUAGCAGCAGGAAGCCCUGGUGUGGCCUCCUCUGCCUGACAGUGUCAGCAACCCACUGUUGCUCGAUGCCCAUGCCCUUUACUGGGGAGGCAGCCUCCAAAGGGGAAAAAUAUACACCUGCAGUGGGCUGUUAAUAACUCCGCCUCUCCUUUCUUUAAUGAACAUUUCAGCUUGUCUUUUGCCAUCAGACACAAGCAGAGCAAGGUUUGGGUUCGAAUCGUGGGAGGAAUUGCCAUCUUUCACCUGCUUGUACUUCUGCUUGUAUCAUUCCCAAGCUAUAACAAGUGAAUCCCUGCAAGAACAAGGCUACAAAUGACCAGUGCCCUCUCUGCAUCCUGACCAGGAACGAAGGCAUACAAAAGAGCAGGGAGUCAAGCGGGUGUGCCCUUUGCUAAAAGGGAAAGACCAGGCCCGUUUGAUCAGGCAGCUGCUUCCUAUGUGGGUUCGCCGCGUCACAGGAAAGUCAACCUAUAGCAGCAGCGUUUUCACCCUCCUGCUGCCCCCAUACAAUUUGCCAUCUGUUAAAGGCCACGGAGAAGUUCACCAGAUUUGCAACUUGUCACUCGACAGGAAAUGUACAAAUGUCCGUCUCUAGCAUCUGGAGCCCUAUUGUCUUUCAGGAGCUGCCGCUUCGAUCCACUGAGAUCGAAAGCAUAUUUCUUCCUUUCAGCAUAUUGUGCAUAUUCCUCUUCCCUCCUGAACCCUGAAGCAAGUUUUUAAAGCGACAACCAGAAGGAUAUGCAGGUUACUAAAAUGCAUGCAUAAAAAAAAAAAGAAAGAAAGGCUGUCUGCAUACCCGAUUAGUGUCCCGACAAAACCACAUGGCAAGACGAGGGGCACCUGAACUGAGAAAAACUACUUCAUUGUUCCAAAGGUUUACCAGGGCCUUUCAGCUCCCACAGCUCUCAACAGUGAUGCGUUGUUUCUUUAAUUGGCUGCUAGGAUAGUAAAUGGCUCUCGAGCCUUUGAGAACUACCCUGUGACACUUGUACAAAAGAUACAUGAACCACAAGGGUUUUGCUACUACCAUGCAGUAAAGAGCCAUUUAAGACAGAAAGACACACAUGGAUACAAUGGGCUCUUUAGACCGUUUCCAUCAAUUAGCCCUCUUGCAUGGCUAUUUUGGAUUUGCGAACACUAAGCUAUGAUGUGGCACUGGCACUUGGCAAUGUCAAAAUCCAACUCCCACUGCCCAAGAGCUUAAUAAUAUUUUAUUAAAACAUCUCAAUUACAUCAUAUUUUUGGCUCAACUUUAGCAUUUUAUCAAAAAAAGGAAACCGCUCAACUAACGUAUUUUCUAGUCCUACAAACAAACCUCAAGUGAACUUUAUUCCUUGCCUCUAGGUUUACUUAACUGUUCAGAUCAAUCAAAAAAAAAAGAGUCUGUAGCCUUUUAAAAACUUGGUUUCAGGAGUUUCUAGAGGCACAUAAAUUACCUUAGCCCCAGCCCCUUUGUUCCUAUACAAGAUAGUAGUGCUGAAAACAAUCACGUCAUUAGACAGAGCCAGCCCCUCCUGUUCUGCCUGCAUUAAACAUUUACAUGUGUCACUUUGAGUUAAAGGACUGUGCAAUCAGGCCCUCUUUUAAAGUAAAUUGCAU